AACCCGCGGCGCCCGGUCCCCGGCCCGCCCCUUUGUCCCGCUUUGGGCGGGGCCGCAGGCGGGGGGCGGCCCUGGUCGGCGCUCGCCCCUUGGGUGAGCGGGGCGGGCUGAGGCCGGACCCGCACCCAACGUUUGGGGGCCGGAGCAAUACGUGGACGCCACGUCGGCCUUGUCACUGACCCCACCGGAACCCAGCCUGAGAGAAGCGCGAGUUGUGGGUGCCACAACUCGGGGCUGCGGGGGUGACCGGGUAGAGAGGUGGAGCCAGCAGGGAAAAUGUCUUUGAGGAGGUGAUGGUGAAAUUGAAGUCAAGAAAAUGAGGAGAUAGCUUUGGGAAAAGCCAAGCAGAGACAUUCCAAGUCAAGAACAGUUUGUGCCGAGGCCCUGAGAAAGGGGCUUGCCUGAUGGUGCAGUGGUUAAGAAUCCGCCAGCCGGUGCAGGGGACAGGGUUUCAAUCCCUGGUC